UAGUUCAGUCAGUUGAGCGUGGUGUUGAAAACACUGAGGUCACAGGUUCGAUUCCUGU
rnacentral:tRNA from 1 species